rnacentral:lncRNA from 1 species
GUCCCACAAUCCACCAGUGAUAUCUAGCAAUAUGUAGUGACAACCCAGCAAAAUAAAAAUAUAAACUCUUAGGUGCAAUUAUCGUAUGAUUCAAUCCUUCUAUCAUGAAUCCUGACUUGACGAAGGUCAUGGAGAACUCGUCAAAUCCCAUCAUCAGUCAUAUGCAAGAUUGGCUCAACUCGAGUUCACUUGUGAAUUUCAUAGAAACUACUUUUUACUAUUCAUACUUGCUUUGGUCAAAGACUUUCUGAACUCAGUCUCACGAAUCGUAUAGGACUUCUCCUUUUUUAUCGAGAUCGAUAGAUUCCAUCUACGUGCAUCCUACUCCAAAUAGCGAACCUGAACCUACUGAAGUCAACAUAUACAGCAAUGACCCAAAUGGCUCAGGACCAAAGGAACGUACAGUCAAACUCAGUGGUCUUGUGCGAAUAGUCGAUGACACCGUAAGUCAAAGGACCACUCACACCACUGCAACAUCGGAAAGACCACUGACAAGUGAAUAGACAUCCAAGUGAUUUUUCAUAUUGGUC